rnacentral:misc_RNA from 1 species
GAUGAAGAACGUAGCGAAAUGCGAUAAGUAGUGUGAAUUGCAGAAUUCAGUGAAUCAUCGAAUCUUUGAACGCACAUUGCGCCCCUUGGUAUUCCAUGGGGCAUGCCUGUUCGAGCGUCAUUAUAACCCCUCAAGCUCAGCUUGGUGUUGGGGCCUGCUGCACUGGCAGCCCUUAAAAUCAGUGGCGGCGCCAUCUGGCUCUAAGCGUAGUAAUUCUUCUCGCUAUGGAGUCCUGGUGGAUGCUUGCCAUCAACCCCCAAUUUUUCUAUGGUUGACCUCGGAUCAGGUAGGGAUACCCGCUGAACUUAAGCAUAUCAAUAGCGGAGGA